GAUGAACGCUGGCGGCGUGCCUAACACAUGCAAGUCGAACGGAGCUGCUUUGAUGAGAUCUUCGGAUGGAUUUAAAACAGCUUAGUGGCGGACGGGUGAGUAACGCGUGGGGUAACCUGCCUCACACUGGGGGAUAACAGUUAGAAAUAGCUGCUAAUACCGCAUAAGCGCACGGUUCCGCAUAGGAACAGUGUGAAAAACUCCGGUGGUACUAAGAUGGACCCGCGUCUGAUUAGGCUAGUUGGUGAGGUAACGGCCCACCAAGGCGACGAUCAGUAGCCGGGCCUGGACGAGGGUGAACGGGCCACAUUGGGACUGAGACACGGGCCCAAACUCCUACGGGAGGCAAGCAGUGGGGAAUAUUGGGACCACAAUGGGGGAAACCCUGAUGCAGCGACGCCGCGUGAGUGAUGAAGUAUUUCGGUAUGU
rnacentral:rRNA from 1 species